UGUGUACUCCCUCCGUUCCAAAAUACUUGACUUCCAUUUGUCCAAAAAUGGAUGUACCUAUAUAAAAAACAUGUCUAGAUAUAUCUAUAUUUUGACAAAUAGAAGGCAUGUAUUGUGCAACGGAGGGAGUAGAAU
rnacentral:pre_miRNA from 1 species